UACUUGCCUGGCCCCAGACCUGCAGGGGCUGUGGCUUUGGAAAUACCUGAGUUUGGAAUCUCCCCAUGUUCUUCUCCACCCAGUGUAUUUUCAGAGGCCCAGCCUGAGGAAGAGGUUGCUGAAACUGAGAGUGAAUCCCCCAAUACAGAAUCACUACAUCAAAUCCCAAGCACUGAACAGCAGCAAAUCAGUGAAGAAGCAGACGAGGAGAGAACAAACCUUCUAACAGAGGGAGAUUUCUGUUUGGACAAAAGUCAAACUUUACAGAUGAAGAGAAAAACAGACAGUCCUCCCAGAAAUGAGUCACCUUACAGGUUCUUGUUGUCUCUGUUCUGAAGGUUCUGAAAAAAGGAAGAAAAAAGCUUCAAAGAGUGACAGAGUUCCAUCUGGCAAAGAAAAGAAGCUUGUGCCCAGGAAAUUAUCCAGUUCAGAAGGUGCAGGUCUGAGAAAGACACACACACCAAAACAUAAAAGAUUUUCCUCAGAGACACAGAAUGUCAUGAUGGCUAGAAACCCCAAGACUGUCUCCCGGGCCCAUUCGGCUAUUCCUAUAGGAGCUGUAUUAAUUCUUCAGCCAAACAUUUGUCGAAACAUUAUUGCCAUGCAAUAUCCUUCACUGACCUGAAGGUGGAGCACAGGCCCUGCUUGUUCUUCUUCGAGUGAUUGCUCACAUCCAUUCCAGUUAGGUNACAGAGUCUCAGUGAUGCUGAACACUGGUCACGAG
ensembl:lncRNA